AGCUAAGACGCUGGCACCUUAAUUCACACGCCGGGUAUUUUAUAUUAAUAUACACACUAGGUAUUUCCCUCACUCUUUGGGGAGCUUUGGGGCCUGGUGACCCCAGGCAGGUCAGAUGUAGCACCCAGGUUCAAGGUACUGGGGUGCCUGGCAACUACCACCACAGGAGGACGCACUGGGACUCAGGGUUACUCAGCUACUGUGUUGCUGCUGGUAACAGGGUGAGAAGGAACCUGAUCACAGGCCUGAAACCACGGCGAAGGGCUGCUUGUGAUGGCCCAAUUUUGCCUUACUUUGGAACGCUGUCAGGUUGUUUCCCCUUAGCCAAACGGCCAACAGUCCCUCCACCUCUUGGACUGUUAGGGCUUUAAGCAGCUCAAAGAUUAGAAAAUAAAGUUUACAACGACGGAAGAACUAAGCAUUUGGAGUCAUGAAUCUGGAACACAGGACAGGGUAAAUAAUUGUAAGGGUCCGUGAUUCACGGUUCAAACGGAGAGCAGCAGAACUUCCUGCCUGCAGGGGUCUCCCCAUUUUCGAAUGGAGAUCCCCCGGAUGUUAUGCUUUACAAGGUCAAGCUUGUAGGGUAGGAGUGGGUGACUUUUAACCUUUCUUUCCCUUGAGUUCUUGGCUCUAUCUCCAGAGCUACGGGUACCUUUGUGACUGGUUAGGACUCCGGGAGUUUCCGCCAUAGUAGUGGCCAGCUGACCACGAGUUCCUGGAUCCAGAUUCUCUUUUCCGGGGAACAGAAGACUUAGGCCUAGUCUUCCAAACUGCCAGUUUGCAGCCUGUCACGGAGUCAGCCUGGCUCUGGUUGACUCGGUCCUUUCAGGGUAAAUUAGCGGAUUGCCCAGCUUAUCACUGACUUAAUAAUAUCAAGGGGAAAAAAAAACUAUCAUUUUUUAAAAAAACAAAUUACUGAAGUUUUUAGGUACAGAUUAAAAAAAA
rnacentral:lncRNA from 1 species